UUAUCUCUGUAGAGUCUGCAUAUCAAUAAGCGGAGGAAAAGAAACUAACAAGGAUUCCCUUAGUAACGGCGAGUGAAGCGGGAAGAGCUCAGAUUUGAAAUCUUCAAGGUUUUACCUUGACGAAUUGUAGUUUAAAGAAGUGUUUUCUGUUGGAGUUUUGGUAAAAGUUCUUUGGAAUAGGACAUCAUAGAGGGUGAGAAUCCCGUAUUUGAUCCAUCUUUCCUAGCUUUGUGAUACACUUUCAAAGAGUCGGAUUGUUUGGGAAUGCAGUCCAAAAUGGGUGGUAAAUUUCAUCUAAAGCUAAAUAUUGGCGAGAGACCGAUAGCGAACAAGUACCGUGAGGGAAAGAUGAAAAGAACUUUGAAAAGAGAGUUAAACAGUACGUGAAAUUGUCAAAAGGGAAGCGUUUGACACCAGUGUUGUUUUUCCGAAAAUCAAUUAAGAAUGUUUUAUUUUCUGAGGAGUUAUGACUUCAUCGGCUUCCUUCUCUCUUCACGAAACUUUUGUAAUGCACUUUUCGGUUAACAAGUCAACAUCAAUUUCUUUUGUUGUAAAAGAGUAUUCGGAAGGUGGCUUUCUUUUCGGAGAAAGUGUUUAUAGCCCUAUACUUCUACAAUCGGAGAGAUUGAGGUCUGCAGCGUAGAUCCUUCGGGGUUAGAUACAUUUGUGCUAAGUUAUAGCUUUUCAUAGACAACUUGUUGACUAUGUUUAGUCUUGUAGCUUACUCGCUUAUGCUAUUUUACCUACGCUUAGGAUGUUGAGUAGCGACAUACGCAC
rnacentral:rRNA from 1 species